rnacentral:rRNA from 1 species
UACGUAGGGGGCAAGCGUUGUCCGGAUUUAUUGGGCGUAAAGAGCGUGUAGGCGGCCAGGUAGGUCUGCUGUGAAAACUCGAGGCUCAACCUCGAGAUGUCGGCGGAAACCAUCUGGCUAGAGUCCGGAAGAGGAGAGUGGAAUUCCUGGUGUAGCGGUGAAAUGCGCAGAUAUCAGGAAGAACACCGAUGGCGAAGGCAGCUCUCUGUGACGGUACUGACGCUGAGGCACGAAAGCGUGGGGAGCAAACAGG